UAGAAUGAGCUUGAAGCACAUUGAAUUCCAACUGAGGUCCUGCGGUGACCUGCUCCUCUAACAUUCCAAUUUCCAGUAGUCCAAGACUUUCAUUGGUAACAGUCAGUUUUUUGUUGGCUUCAUUCUCAACUCUGAUGUUUUUGUCCUCACUCCUCACUUCAACCUUCUCCUUCCAGUUCCAUUGCUAUAGCAUCUGUGUUCAUACUGUUCGUCCUGUGGGUCAUUCUGAUUCUUUUCUUCAUUCAUGGCAAAGAAGAUUAUUUAGUAAGGUUUCAUUCUCUCUCAUUUCCUUGUACAGGGUUUUCUCACAUCUGUGUGUUCAUACUGUUUUCUUCAUCAAGGCAAGAUGGUUAUUCAGUAAGGUUUCAUUCUCUCUCAUUUCCGUCUCCAGGUUUUCCUCAAAGAGGAGAUCCUCCUCACCUCCUAACAGGUCAUCUUCAGGAUUCAUGUCCGCAUGCAACGAUGCAAGUCGUCUGAGCUCAUUGUUGCACAUCCAUGUCUUCUGAGUUGGACUUGGGCUUACCUGGACAAGGACAUCAGACACAUGGCGAACCGAAAAGUUCCUUCAUUAGACGACAGAUUUGAUGGCGUUGUCGGUGCCACGUGCCAUAGGCUCAACCCCAGGAUGGUAAGAUUCUCAGGCUGGCAGGUGUGAAAAGAUGAAUUAUUCAAACAACAAAACUGUGCUAAAACAUCAAAAAGGUUAAUCCAUGUCCAAUCCAUCCCUCCCAAGACCCUAGAUAAUAGGGACCAACAUUCUCCCAAGAACCAAGAUAACAUGGACCAGCUAAAUUGAGAGUGUAAUAUAGCCUUUUUAGGGCUAUUUUAGCUUGAGUAUGUUAUAAUCAUGCUUUAGGGUUACUUUAUGAUCACUGAGAAGGAAAGGAAGGAGAUAUAGGUGUUGUUUGGCAUCAUGGGCUAUUCAAGUAGAAAUGCUGUCACCUCAUAUAGCAGGAUUUUUGACUUCAACCAUUAACAACCUGUUUAUCACAAAACACUUUGCAUGAAAAUCCAUAUACUAGCUAGCUAGGGUAUUUGAAGGAACAAUAAUUAACUAGACAUUUCCUAUUGUGCAGAGAAAAAGUCUGAAUGACCUGGCUGAUGUGAGGUGACAUUGAUUUAACACUUUCAUGGAUGAAUGAAAACUACCAAAACCUUCCACCAAAUAGAAUUAAAAGACAAAGGGUAUGUAGACUUCAAUAAGUUUCAAAAUGCAUGAAUGAAACUAUUGUUUCAACUCCAAACAGGUCCUCAGUUGUUGUUAUUGUUGGUUUUCCUCCAUGGGGGGAUGGAUUGAGGGUGUCUUGGCAGGAGGAGAGUACUGAGUAGUGAGUACACACACACAAGCAAGGAAUCUAGUGAGCUAAAUACAAAAGACCGUGCGGUAACAAAGUUGCUCAGGCCCAAGAGCCUACAUUCAAAGUAUGGGCUCAUUCUAUUGCAAGCGUGUGUGGUCAGUACCACGGGCACGGGACUCUCUUCUCCUGCUGCACAUCCCAUAAUUGUUACUGGCAUAAAAGUAUCCAUCAGUAGGUAAAGCAACCCCCAUCAGGACACGUGUCACCCUUUUAAGUGUGUCGUAUGACAUCCCCAUCAUCCCAGGUGAUGUCAACUGUACCCCACAACAGUGAAUCCCUCUGAACGAUCAGUUUUGGACGGCUCGGAUCGUUUCUUCACAUCCAUUCUCUGGAGCCUGGUUUAAAUGACCGGGUCGCGAUCCCCAUAUCAUUGCCACGUUUCUGUUUCUGAGUGGUUGACAUGACAUUUCGUCCGGUUCCCAGAAAUAAAUUCUGGGUUUUCUAUUUUUUUUUCUCUGUCUGUAAAUAAUAACGAAAUCGAGGCGGAGGGAGGGGGGACGUACGGAAAAGUCAAAAAAAACCCUACACUACACCCACCUAAAAAGGAGAGUUCAGAUCUGCGCUCCACUUCGG